AUGAGAAACUGGAAGGGCUGGAGGUGUUUCAAGAGCCUUACUAUCUACCCUUUUAAGAGUAUAUUUAGUAAAGUGAAUUCAAACUUCAGACUCAAAUCUCAAGGACACAGAAAUGGACUUGUUAGUCUUUAUAAAGACAUGGAGUCAUGUGGUGAAUAUGCAGAUAUUCAAGUCAUGUGGAAAAUGAUUGAAUCUUCAUCUCCUAAACUUGCCUGCAACAAGAAAAGGACCAAAAUUUUCUUCAUGGAUUAG